UACGUAGGUGGCAAGCGUUGUCCGGAUUUACUGGGCGUAAAGGAUGCGUAGGCGGACAUUUAAGUCAGAUGUGAAAUACCCGAGCUUAACUUGGGUGCUGCAUUUGAAACUGGGUGUCUAGAGUGCAGGAGAGGUAAGUGGAAUUCCUAGUGUAGCGGUGAAAUGCGUAGAGAUUAGGAAGAACACCAGUGGCGAAGGCGCUUACUGGACUGAUAACUGACGCUGAGGCAUGAAAGCGUGGGGAGCAAACAGG
rnacentral:rRNA from 1 species